UGGGGAAUUUUGGACAAUGGGCGAAAGCCUGAUCCAGCAAUGCCGCGUGUGUGAAGAAGGCCUUCGGGUUGUAAAGCACUUUUGUCCGGAAAGAAAUCCUUGGCUCUAAUACAGUCGGGGGAUGACGGUACCGGAAGAAUAAGCACCGGCUAACUACGUGCCAGCAGCCGCGGUAAUACGUAGGGUGCAAGCGUUAAUCGGAAUUACUGGGCGUAAAGCGUGCGCAGGCGGUUUGCUAAGACCGAUNUGAAUCCCGGGCUCAACCUGGGAACUGCAUUGGUGACUGGCAGGCUAGAGUAUGGCAGAGGGGGGUAGAAUUCCACGUGUAGCAGUGAAAUGCGUAGAGAUGUGGAGAAUACCGAUGGCGAAGGCAGCCCCUGGGCCAAUACUGACGCUCAUGCACGAAAGCGUGGGGAGCAAACAGGAUUAGAUACCCUGGUAGUCCACGCCCUAAACGAUGUCAACUAGUUGUUGGGGAUUCAUUUCCUUAGUAACUAGCUAACGCGUGAAGUUGACCGCCUGGGGAGUA
rnacentral:rRNA from 1 species